rnacentral:rRNA from 1 species
GUCCACGCCCUAAACGAUGUCUACUAGUUGUUGGGUCUUAAUUGACUUAGUAACGCAGCUAACGCGUGAAGUAGACCGCCUGGGGAGUACGGUCGCAAGAUUAAAACUCAAAGGAAUUGACGGGGACCCGCACAAGCGGUGGAUGAUGUGGAUUAAUUCGAUGCAACGCGAAAACCUUACCUACCCUUGACAUGGAUGGAAUCCCGGAGAGAUUUGGGAGUGCUCGAAAGAGAACCAUCACACAGGUGCUGCAUGGCUGUCGU